GAAGCCCCGCCUCCUGGACGACCGGCCCUGACCCUCCGCGGCAGCCAAUCAGCGGCAACCGUGGCUGCUGUUAGACCUUUACCGAGGAAGGUGCUGCAGGUUCCUUUCGUGCUUACAAAGGUGCCCUGGGGCAAAUGCCAAAGAGUGAAAGUGGACCAAAGGGUGCCAGUGUGGUGACUGGAGACCCAGAUGCCUUCCCAGCUUGACCUUGCUGAGCUGGGGGCCUGGCUGGAGAGAAAGGACCCCCUACCCGUCUUUCCAGGGCACAGCCUGAAGGGGGACUGGACCUGCCACUGGACUGGACUCCUUCAGACCUCUGGCUUUCACUCUGAGGUUACACCCAGUAUCCUGAUCUGCUCAGAGUUUUCCUUCACCUUGGCACCAAAGAGGUGCAAAUCGUGGACCUCCAUCUGGGGAGGCCCUCCAAGGGCCAGUGGGAAACAAGAACCCAGCCGAGUCUCGAGUGGAAACUCUGGGGACUCUUCUAGGAGCCGUUUUCCCUGGUGGAAUUUCUGGUUCUUAUUGCUCGGUGUGAAGUAGAGGAACUAAGCCAGAGAUUCUGGUUUCAAGUCAACCCUAGAAACGGUGGCACUCAGUGAUCCCAGGAUGGCUCUGCCCCGGGGAAGGUGGGUCCGUGCCAGUGGAUGUCAUCUUUGACCUUGUGAAUGAUGUUCUUUCAAGAAUGACGUUCUCUGCUGAACCUGUGGAUGUGCUCUUUGUGUGGAGAACAACAGACUUCCCAGAUUCAAAUCCAUCAUGAAGGCAAUUUUUUAAAAAUAAAGUUUUGAAUGUCUGAAAAAAGAAGAAGAAGAAUGGCUGAUAAACCCUAGUCUGAAUUAGUAACUUCAGAUGAAAUUAAUGGAACCAUCUGAAGAAAGGACUUUAAGGUGAGCUUCUUUUGGGUGCGUCGUGAAAAUAAAGGCUGAUGCUG
rnacentral:lncRNA from 1 species